AUACGGAGGGGGCAAGCGUUGUCCGGAAUUACUGGGCGUAAAGAGCUCGUAGGCGGCUCAGCAAGUCGGUCGUGAAAGCCCGAGGCUCAACCUCGGAACUGCGGUCGAUACUGCUGUGGCUAGAGUCCGGUAGAGGGGAGUGGAAUUCCCGGUGUAGCGGUGGAAUGCGCAGAUAUCGGGAGGAACACCAGUGGCGAAGGCGGCUCUCCGGGCCGGUACUGACACUGAGGAGCGAAAGCGUGGGGAGCAAACAGGAUUAGAAACCCUAGUAGUCC
rnacentral:rRNA from 1 species